GCGAACGCUGGCGGCAGGCCUAACACAUGCAAGUCGAACGAACCUUUCGGGGUUAGUGGCGGACGGGAGAGUAACACGUGGGAACGUGCCUUUAGGUUCGGAAUAACUCAGGGAAACUUGUGCUAAUACCGAAUGUGCCCUUCGGGGGAAAGAUUUAUCGCCUUUAGAGCGGCCCGCGUCUGAUUAGCUAGUUGGUUGAGGUAAUGGCUCACCAAGGCGACGAUCAGUAGCUGGUCUGAGAGGAUGAUCAGCCACAUUGGGACUGAGACACGGCCCAAACUCCUACGGGAGGCAGCAGUGGGGAAUCUUGCGCAAUGGGCGAAAGCCUGACGCAGCCAUGCCGCGUGAAUGAUGAAGGUCUUAGGAUUGUAAAAUUCUUACACCGGGGACGAUAAUGACGGUACCCGGAGAAGAAGCCCCGGCUAACUUCGUG
rnacentral:rRNA from 1 species